GUCGAGGGAGACCGUUGGAUUCGUCUGACAUGAAACCGGCGCACGGGUGCGUAACACGUAUGCAACCUACCUUUAACUGGGGUAUAGCUCAGAGAAAUCUGAAUUAAUCCCCCAUAAGACUACGACAUGGCAUCAUGAUGUAGUUAAAGCUCCGGCGGUUAAAGAUGGGCAUGCGGUACAUUAUCUAGUUGGUGAGGUAAUGGCUCACCAAGGCUACGAUGUAUAGGGGGUCUGAGAGGAUGAUCCCCCACACUGGUACUGAGACACGGACCAGACUCCUACGGGAGGCAGCAGUAGGGAAUAUUGGUCAAUGGACGCAAGUCUGAACCAGCCAUGCCGCGUGAAGGAUGAAAGCCCUAUGGGUCGUAAACUUCUUUUAUUAGGGAAGAAAAAAUGGGAUGCGUCCUAUACUGACGGUACUUAAUGAAUAAGGAUCGGCUAACUUCGUGCCAACAGCCGCGGUAAGACGAAGGAUCCAAGCGUUGUCCGGAUUUACUGGGUUUAAAGGGUGCGUAGGCGGAAAAUUAAGUCAGUGGUGAAAGCCCCGCACUUAACUGUGGAACUGGCAUUUGAACU
rnacentral:rRNA from 1 species